GAUCUGGCUCAGGAUGAACGCUGGCGGCGUGCUUAACACAUGCAAGUCGAACGAUUGAAGCUGGAGCUUGCUCCGGCCGAUUUAGUGGCGGACGGGUGAGUAACGCGUGGGUAACCUGCCUCAUACAGGGGGAUAGCAGUUGGAAACGACUGGUAAAACCGCAUAAGCGCACGGUGUCGCAUGACACAGUGUGAAAACACUCCGGUGGUAUGAGAUGGACCCGCGUCUGAUUAG
rnacentral:rRNA from 1 species